rnacentral:rRNA from 1 species
UGGGGAAUAUUGGACAAUGGGGGCAACCCUGAUCCAGCAAUGCCGCGUGUGUGAAGAAGGCCUUCGGGUUGUAAAGCACUUUUGGCGGGGAGGAAGGUAUUUUGUUUAAGAGAUGAGAUAUUUGACUGUACCCGCAGAAUAAGCACCGGCUAACUCUGUGCCAGCAGCCGCGGUAAUACAGAGGGUGCAAGCGUUAAUCGGAAUUACUGGGCGUAAAGGGCGCGUAGGCGGUCAAGUAAGUGAGAUGUGAAAUCCCUGGGCUUAACCUAGGAAGGUCAUUUCAUACUGCGAGACUAGAGUAUUGUAGAGGGUAGUGGAAUUUCCGGUGUAGCGGUGAAAUGCGUAGAGAUCGGAAGGAACACCAGUGGCGAAGGCGGCUACCUGGACAAAUACUGACGCUGAAGCGCGAGAGCGUGGGGAGCAAACAGGAUUAGAUACCCCCGUAGUCC